GAGAGAAUGAGAGAGAGAGAGAGAAUGAGAGAGCGAGAGAGAGAGAGAGAGAGAGAGAGAGAGAGAGAGAGAGAGAGAGAGAGAGAGAGAGAGAGAGCAAUACAAAGGGGGGAAACAUGGUGAUUGUGAACAGAGCUGUCAAGCAGUCUCUCCCUCCUAUCCUUCAGAUCAUCCAUGCUAUUGGAUGGUGCACAAACAUUUGCAUUUCAAUAGUGGCUGUCACAGUCACAGCAAGCUGGGAGGAAUAAAAAGGAAAAACUGAAAACACUCAGGGAGGCUUUACGGUGUGACGAUGCAGGCUUUUGUUGUGUCUCAAAUGCCACCCUAUUCCCUAAACAGUGCACUACUUUUGACCAGGGCCUAUGGGGAAUAGGCUGCCCUUUGUGACACAGACUUUGGGUCUUCAGUCAGCCAUAGCACAGGACUAGCCAACCAGGCAGGCAGGGUAAUGCACUGUGAUACAGGCCAGACGUAACCUCCUGUGAAGAUAGGGAAUUGACACAGCAGUGUAAAACAGUAGCCCCGCCCCUGGAGCAGAGACAUGUCGCUAGGAGCUCCAGGGAGGAGGAUCAGGUAUCUGGUCCUACAUGUUGAUCUAUGAUCAGACAUUUAACCUGGACCCUGUGAAUGGGACUCAGAUUGUGAACAGUUGUAUUGUUGUUAACGGUGUCCUGGGUAGCGGUCGCUGUGACUUACUAGGUUCUGUAGAUAGAUACAGAGAGAGAUGGAGAGACCGUAAAACACAGAGAUAAAAAAGAGAGUAAGAAAAGAGAAGGGAGAGAGAUACAUUCUGCAUAUUGUGCAUAUUCAUGUCAGCAGAUGAAUGUGGGUCAACAGAGCUAAAAUACAGACAAUGUGCAUCAUUUGAUGUGAGCACUUUGUGUGCUGCUGGCCAUCCUUUUGUCGAAAUGAAUGUGGCUUAAAACGUCCAUGCCACGUUUAAUAAUAUGAUCAAAAAUGGAUCGUGGUCUUUAACUGGUGACCCACUUCACACAGGUUCACCCAUACAGUUCCACUGUACAGCAGUUCUAGCUCAAGAGAAUAAUACCCCUCUUAUUUCAUAACAACUGAAGGAGGGGCGGAGUAAGGAGGUACACCUUUAAUCAACACCAACACCUCUUUCUGGAUAUUAACACCAUGAGCGUCCACUUUAAUUAGACACACUAAUCAGCAAUUAAACAAGACUGUGUCAUGGGGAGGUUGUGUACGUGUGUGUGUGUGCACGCACGCUGGUGUGUGUGUGUGUAUAGGGUCGGUCAAUAUGCAGCAGUGUGUUGUAUUUAGAGUGCUUAAGCUAAUUGAAUUAGAUCUGCCUGCCUGGCUCGAGAGUUGAUUAGGAGUCUGUGAGAUUGGAAUAUUGACAGGCAACUGUGAAGAAAUGCAUAAACAAGGAGAGAACAGCUCAUAUCCACCUACACACAGACACACACACAGAGAGAGAGAGAGAGAGAGAGAGAGAGAGAGAGAGAGAGAGAGAGAGAGAGAGAGAGAGAGAGAGAGAGAGAGAGAGAGAGAGAGAGAGAGAGAGAGAGAGAGAGAGAGAGAGAGAGAGAGAGAGAGAGAGAGAGAGAGAGAGAGAGAGAGAGAGAGAGAGAGAGAGAGAGAGAGAGAGAGAGAGAGAGAGAGAGAGGAUACAUUCACCUAGUCCACUUUAAUGAAUGACCCAGCUGUUAACCUUUUCAGUAGAGUGACCUGUGUGUAUUAAUCCUAUAGGAGGCAGUCUGUCAUCGUAACAGCUGGCUGCGUAUGAAGGACCAGUGUUGGGGAGUAGUGAACUACAUGUAGUCCAACUAGUAAUGUAACUACAUUUUGCAGUAACUUGAUGGUAGCUGAGUUAAAUUACAAUCUUAGUAGUGUUUUCAGAAGUUCUUUACUUUUCUGAGGUCUGGUUAGCUACUGGAACUACACACUACUUUUUUGUUGCAAAAAGUAGGAAAAAAAACAAUAUUGCAUCAGACCUGCCUAAUUCUCACUUGAGACAUAGUUUUUGUGUUUAAUAGGAUAAAUUACACAUUCUGUUAACAUCUAACUACAGAGAGAUCUGUUCUUGCUAUUUGUAUUCUAUGACAUUUCAAAUGUACAUAUCAUUUUUCAUGGAGUAGUUUGGAUACAGUGAACUGCUUUUUCAAAGUAACUUCAGUUCAGUAAACUAUAAACUCUUUCUUAAGGGCAGCUUUAGUGUAGUUGAACUCUUCCAGUGUGCAGUAAUUGGUAGCUUGGAAAAGUCUAUUUUCAGAGCAGCUUCCCCAACACUGUGAAGGACACACUGACAGGUUGGAGUCACCUCUCUAGAGAAAUGGGAAACAGGGGAUAUCCUGUGCUGAAGUCUCCCAGGUUAGAUGGACCCAUAUGAUUUACUAUGACUUACAUACAGCAUUUUAGUGCAUUGAAUUAAAAUAGGGGUCAAUAGGGUACGUUUCUAUUAAUAGCAACACUGUUGUAGUGUGACGUAAGGUGGUAGCCAAGGAGAUACCUUUCAUAAGGAGAAAAUGUUCCGAAAGUGAAUUUCAGCCUCCCUCUCUCUUUCUCUUUCUUUCGCUUAUUCACCCUCUGUGUCCUCUUGUAUGAGUGUUCACUGUUCCACACUGCACACACACACACACACACACACACACACACACACACACACACACACACACACACACACACACACACACACACACACACACACACACACACACACACACACACACACACACACACACACACACACACACACACACACACACACACACACACACACACACACGCCCCCUAAGCGCCUGGGCCUAAUGGGAAUGUGGCUUCAGUGGUGUGUAGCGAUUGAAAACGACAUCUCUGCAUGGGCUUCAGCAGAAUAACACCUGUCCCCCUUUAUCCAAGGAGAAAAGCUGGAAAUGACCUUCCUCUGAGAGUUGGAUUGUAUUAGCUCUCCUCCUGCACAAGAUUUGUUUCACUCCCUCCUUUUCCACUUUCUCUUCCUUUCUCUUUUUUCCCCAAAUAUUUGAUCUUGUUUCACCUGCGCUUGUUUGUGAUGAAAUGAUGCAUGUUGAAUACAAACCAGUCUGUGGGUGAGAGUAGUUCCAAUGAGUAAAUGUUAUAUAAAUGUUACCUGGAUGUUACAAGGGGUGUUUUUUUUCGGUUCCCUCAGCUCUCUCUGUUUGAAGUAGUGUUGGGUUAUGAUUGGUUUAUCCUGCGAGACUGAUCCGAGGUCAAAGGUCAUAUUCCAUACAGAUCCAUAGUGUCGCCAUUUUGGUUUUCCAUUGGAACCGACAAGGUCCUGGAAAGAAAGAGUCACAAUGCCAGCUCUCUCAGUGAAAGAGGAGAGAGGAAAUGUCACUGGAUUUACACAACUCUUUCCAGACUCUCCAGUCUUCCUGAAGGAAACAGCUACAACAAACAAACACUUAUGGGGAUUUAAAGGUACGAUACCCACUGAUCUCCUCUCUCAGAGACACUCCACCUGAAAACUCUACAGAGGAACUGCUAUGCUACCGGAGGCUAACUGUGACUGACUCUGCCCUUCACCAUUCACACACAGAGGGAUUCUCAAGGAACCUGGCGAGAACGUUUAAAAACACUCGGAAAGGUGACUUUUUUGUCAUUUUGGCUCCAAAUCCCUGAACUCCUAAUGAUGUAUGAAUCCCUAGGAGGAGUAAGACUGAAGCUCAUUCAAGUGCUCUCCUGCUCAAGGACCUGCCUCGAUCAUCACACAUCGUUUCCACAACAUUCCCAGAGUGCUUCUGUCACGUCAUAGCAACGUUUGCCCAUUUGUUAAAUGGUCCUUUAGCCAAAUACAGUGGCAAUUCUAUUUGUAUUUUGUAAUAAUAAAAAAGAACCCAGUGGGGGCUCUUCUCUCAGCUUGCUUGCA